rnacentral:lncRNA from 1 species
GGGGCUACAAGGGAUCCAUGGAAAGAGCAUUCCCAGAAGCGGGGCCAGGGCAGUGCGCACAGUGAGGAGAGCAGGUGUGUGUGAGGUUGAAACAAAACGUUCAAAGCCCCCUCGGAAGCCCAUCCACAGGUGUGUGACUGUGAACCGCAUCGUAAUCUCCUAGAAAGCAAGAACAUCAGGCUUACAUUUUCCACUUGCCUCUCACGGCUCAGAGCUCUGCAGUAUAUACACAAUGUCAGUGAAGAUGGAAAACAGAACGUGGAGAGAGAUGUAGCUUACUAGAGCCCUGUGGCUUCAAUCCCCACCAGGAAUGUCGUUUAAGAGGAAGGUGAUCUAGCACAAAUUCACAUUUGCUUGAGGAAGAAUACAAAUGACAUAUCACACACCAACCGUGUGCAAAGCACUCUACCUAAAGAUCAGCGCUAACAGAGGAAUAAGCAGAGGCCUCCAGGAGCAAAGAGUGAAAAGUCUCCCAAGGAUUCAAGUACGGGGGAAGUGGGUGGAGCUUUCACCGUAGAAUCUUUCCUGGAGAAAAAGCAAAGAGUGGGACAACAAUGAAGGCAUUAAAAAUAACUGUCAAGUUGAAGAAAAAAUCUGAAGUUUAUCAAUACAUGAUCUCCUCAAAAACGAAAGGAAUAAAACAAGUAUCUGCAAUUUGCUGAGAACUUAAUAUGUGUCAGUUGCCUGCAAAACUCAUCAUUCUUUAGACUUUCAAAUACAUCUGUGAGGACGGUAUUGUUGUUUCCACUUACACAUGAGAAGGCAAGAGACAAGCCCACGGUCACCCAGCUGGUAUUUUGCCAAAGACUAAGGAUUCGGAGAUGACUACGGAAAGGAAAACUAAGCUCCAUGAGAAGAGGGGACUUGCCCAUGUGGCUCAGGGCUCUAUGCCCAGUGCCCUAGACAGUGCCUGACUGUGUGUGCGGAAUGAAUGAAUAACCUUGGUGAUCCACCCAAUGGCACUGGCGCUCAGUGACCUCAUCUGAAAUGGAAUAAGGAUUUUAUGAAAAUGCAUGUUUGUUGAAUAACACAAAGGAGAAUAUUAUCUAAUGUGGCUUGGGGUCAAUAUCAAGCAGUAAUAUUGUUUUAGUAUUAAUUAGAGCCGUGUCAUUGCA